CGCCAUCUCGCGAGCCGCCCGUGUGGCACCGCCUCCCGCCCGCCCGCGGCUGAGGGGCUGUGGGCAGCGGCGGUUGGCAGACUGUGUUUGUACAGACAGCGAUAAAAGGCGCCGCUUGGGUCCUCAGGUUGGAUGUUUGAUGGGGCGACGGUGUGGCAAGUACCGUCUUUCAAGCUGACUUGAAUAUCAAACCCUUUUUCCUGUUGGCUGCAUUGGAGGAGUGCGCCUAUGUAAAACAGUCGUUGUGGCCCUUCAUCCGAGACUGUUUCCCGUCUCACUGAAACACAUUUUGCUGCAGGGUGUUUGUAACAAAGGGACUUGGACACUUCUGUAGAUGUUGAGCCACGCUCAUCAGCCCGUCUCUUUGUGCAGCGCUUUCUCCGCACCCUCUGGGCUAUGAGUCCAGGCUCAGUUCUUCCUUGUGGCCUCUUCAUCUCUAUUCCUUUCACUCUUGCACAGUGAUAUUUUGAAAACUUAGAACACAAGAAAACUUCCUUUACCAGCUCAGUCUGCUGCCAAGUCACCACUGAAGAUGUCAUCAUCUGAAAUCCCAGCUAGACACGCACCUGGGCACAGCAGUGAAACAAGCUGCAGUAUGUCUCGCUUGGUACAAGGCCUUUGUGCAGAGAGUGCUGGCGACCGGAUCCAAAGGGCAGAGCUCCCAUGGCAGCAGCAGCUGGAGCCUGCUUGCGUGCAGGAACUGCCUGAAGGCCUGCCUCACCCUCGUGGAGCUCUCCUGCUGGCUGCAUUUUCAAGCAUCCUGCCAAGCUACGGAAGUCAUGAUUGCUCAUCUUCAGCCACAGAUGGGAAAUGUGGAAAGGCUGCACUGUGAGGCCAGAGAUAGCUGGAGGAUGGCAAGCCCCCAGGCUAGCAGUAAUGCAAGAGGACCUGAUGUGAGGAGGUGUGUUUCCAAAGCAGCGGACUGCUCAGGUCUGGUAAGCUCACUGUGUGGUGUGCUGGCUUUAAAGGGAGCCCUGAGCUUGAGCCUGCUGCUCCAAGAACUUGUGCAAAAAGCUGCUCUUUUACUGCAUGGCAGAGAAAGAAGAAAGUGUUAAAGACAGUGCGCUGAGAGCAGGAUUAUGAAGUUGCUCUCUGCAAAGCUUGUUUCUUUAUGUCAAAGACAAGAGUUCACUUAUGUCUUUCUGGGGCUUUCAUAAAAGUGAAAGAGUUGAAAGGAGCACUCUUAUUUCAUUGGCAUGUUGAAAAACACUUUCCACAUCAUCACUGCACAUCCAUUGAGUUGACUAGUGAGACGUGUACGUGGGUGAAUACUGCUUUACAGUAGAAAAAAGGGCAAAAUACGACGUUGGCUGCUCUGGUUUUUCAAGGCAGAAAGCUAACCUGGGUGGGCUAGACAGUUUAUGGUUGAGGGGUACAGAGCACUAGUGAAAGGAUUAUAUACCUGCUCAGCAGCUCCACUGAACGUGGAAAAUACUUCCACUUGUUUUCGGCACAACCACGUCUCUGCCCAAGCCGUGCUCUGUCCCAGGCACAGCAGCUGGGAUUGCCAGCAAUACUAGCAAACAGGGAUGGCACCGUGUCUUCCAGCCUAGAAAACAGACAACACCAUUUCCCACUAUUUCCUCUACAAACCCGUGCUUUUUCUUCUGUAAAUGCGUAUUUGUUUGGCAUUUAUUUUCUGUGUUCACUACCUAGUAGGGCUAAUGGAAACUAGAGCAAUUAAUGCUACGUGUGCCUGAAAAUAUGUCUACGUAUCAGCACGUAGUAAUGGGAUACUACGUAUAAGUAACGGGAAAUGUGAGAGUUUAACUGAUGAACACUGUUCUUAAACAUUUUUUCCUGAAGAACUCUAAGUGGGACAACACUAGGUUUAUAAUAAAGGACAAAAUAAAUUCUUCA
rnacentral:lncRNA from 1 species